rnacentral:rRNA from 1 species
AGUGAACGCUGGCGGUAGGCCUAACACAUGCAAGUCGAACGGCAGCACAGUAAGAGCUUGCUCUUACGGGUGGCGAGUGGCGGACGGGUGAGGAAUACAUCGGAAUCUACUUUUUCGUGGGGGAUAACGUAGGGAAACUUACGCUAAUACCGCAUACGACCUACGGGUGAAAGCAGGGGAUCUUCGGACCUUGCGCGAUUGAAUGAGCCGAUGUCGGAUUAGCUAGUUGGCGGGGUAAAGGCCCACCAAGGCGACGAUCCGUAGCUGGUCUGAGAGGAUGAUCAGCCACAAUGGGACUGGGACACGGUCCAGACUCCUACGGGAGGGAGCAGUGGGGAAAAUUGGACAAUGGGCCCAAGCCUGAUCCAGCCAAACCGCGGGGGGGAAGAAGGCCUUCGGGUUGUAAAGCCCUUUUGUUGGGAAAGAAAAGCAGCAAGUUAAUACCCCGCUGUUCUGACGGUACCCAAAGAAUAAGCACCGGUUAACUUCGUGC